rnacentral:misc_RNA from 1 species
AAAAUGCGAUAAGUAAUGUGAAUUGCAGAAUUCAGUGAAUCAUCGAAUCUUUGAACGCACAUUGCGCCCACCAGUAUUCUGGCGGGCAUGCCUGUUCGAGCGUCAUUUCAACCCUCAAGCCCCCGGGUUUGGUGUUGGGGAUCGGGCUGCGGUUCUACCGCGUCCCGGCCCCGAAAUCUAGUGGCGGUCUCGCUGCAGCCUCCAUUGCGUAGUAGCUAACACCUCGCAACUGGAACGCGGCGCGGCCAAGCCGUUAAACCCCCAACUUCUGAAUGUUGACCUCGGAUCAGGUAGGAAUACCCGCUGAACUUAAGC